UAACGGCCCACCAAGGCGACGAUGCGUAGGGGUUCUGAGAGGAAGGUCCCCCACACUGGUACUGAGACACGGACCAGACUCCUACGGGAGGCAGCAGUGAGGAAUAUUGGUCAAUGGGCGCGAGCCUGAACCAGCCAAGUCGCGUGAGGGAAGACGGUCCUAUGGAUUGUAAACCUCUUUUGUCGGGGAGCAAAAGACGCCACGUGUGGCGUUCCGAGAGUACCCGAAGAAAAAGCAUCGGCUAACUCCGUGCCAGCAGCCGCGGUAAUACGGAGGAUGCGAGCGUUAUCCGGAUUUAUUGGGUUUAAAGGGUGCGCAGGCGGAAGAUCAAGUCAGCGGUAAAAUUGAGAGGCUCAACCUCUUCGAGCCGUUGAAACUGGUUUUCUUGAGUGAGCGAGAAGUAUGCGGAAUGCGUGGUGUAGCGGUGAAAUGCAUAGAUAUCACGCAGAACUCCGAUUGCGAAGGCAGCAUACCGGCGCUCAACUGACGCUCAUGCACGAAAGUGUGGGUAUCGAACAGGAUUAGAUACCCUGGUAGUCCACACAGUAAACGAUAAGUACUAAUUGUUCGGGGAGAAUGAUCCCUGA
rnacentral:rRNA from 1 species